rnacentral:rRNA from 1 species
CAACUCUCAACAACGGAUAUCUUGGCUCCCGUAACGAUGAAGAACGCAGCGAAAUGCGAUACGUAGUGUGAAUUGCAGAAUUCCGUGAACCAUCGAAUCUUUGAACGCAAAUUGCGCUCGAGGCCUCGGCCAAGAGCAUGUCUGUCUCAGCGUC